UACAGAGGGUGCAAGCGUUAAUCGGAAUUACUGGGCGUAAAGCGUGCGCAGACGGUUGCGUAAGUCAGAUGUGAAAGCCCCGGGCUCAACCUGGGAAUUGCAUUUGGGACUGCAAGGCUGGAGUGUGGCAGAGGAGACUGGAAUUCCUGGUGUAGCAGUGAAAUGCGUAGAUAUCAGGAGGAAUACCGAUGGCGAAGGCAGGUCUCUGGGCUGACACUGACGCUCAUGCACGAAAGCGUGGGGAGCAAACAGG
rnacentral:rRNA from 1 species